rnacentral:rRNA from 1 species
AGUGGGGAAUUUUGGACAAUGGGGGCAACCCUGAUCCAGCCAUGCCGCGUGAGUGAAGAAGGCCUUCGGGUUGUAAAGCUCUUUCGGCCGGGAAGAAAUCGUGCGGGCUAAUACCCUGUAUGGAUGACGGUACCGGAAGAAGAAGCACCGGCUAACUACGUGCCAGCAGCCGCGGUAAUACGUAGGGUGCGAGCGUUAAUCGGAAUUACUGGGCGUAAAGCGUGCGCAGGCGGUUUCGUAAGACAGAUGUGAAAUCCCCGGGCUUAACCUGGGAACUGCGCUUGUGACUGCGAGACUUGAGUGCGGCAGAGGGGGGUGGAAUUCCACGUGUAGCAGUGAAAUGCGUAGAGAUGUGGAGGAACACCGAUGGCGAAGGCAGCCCCCUGGGUCGACACUGACGCUCAUGCACGAAAGCGUGGGGAGCAAACAGGAUUAGAUACCCUGGUAGUCCACGCCCUAAACGAUGCGAACUAGGUGUUGGGGAAGGAGACUUCUUUAGUACCGUAGCUAACGCGUGAAGUUCGCCGCCUGGGGAGUACGGUC